rnacentral:rRNA from 1 species
UACGUAGGGUGCGAGCGUUGUCCGGAAUUAUUGGGCGUAAAGAGCUUGUAGGCGGUUUGUCGCGUCUGCUGUGAAAAUCCGGGGCUCAACCCCGGACUUGCAGUGGGUACGGGCAGACUAGAGUGUGGUAGGGGAGACUGGAAUUCCUGGUGUAGCGGUGAAAUGCGCAGAUAUCAGGAGGAACACCAAUGGCGAAGGCAGGUCUCUGGGCAGUUACUGACGCUGAGGAGCGAAAGCAUGGGUAGCGAACAGGAUUAGAUA